GAGAGUACUGGGCUCUGCCUAGCUACUUUUACCCAUGUUUUUUUACGUACCCAAAGUUUCCUCGGCGGCUCUGCCCGCCGGUUGGACUCCCACAAACCCUUUGUAGUUGCAGUCAGCGUCUGAUAAAACAUAAUAAUUACAACUUUCAACAACGGAUCUCUUGGUUCU
rnacentral:misc_RNA from 1 species